rnacentral:rRNA from 1 species
CUUUUAUACGANAAAAAACACUCCUUCCUGAAGGAGCUUGACGGUAUCGUAAGAAUAAGGAUCGGCUAACUCCGUGCCAGCAGCCGCGGUAAUACGGAGGAUCCGAGCGUUAUCCGGAAUCAUUGGGUUUAAAGGGUCCGUAGGCGGUUUAAUAAGUCAGUGGUGAAAGCCCAUCGCUCAACGGUGGAACGGCCAUUGAUACUGUUAAACUUGAAUUAUUAGGAAGUAACUAGAAUAUGUAGUGUAGCGGUGAAAUGCUUAGAGAUUACAUGGAAUACCAAUUGCGAAGGCAGGUUACUACUAAUGGAUUGACGCUGAUGGACGAAAGCGUGGGUAGGGAACAGGAUUAGAUACCCUGGUAGUCCACGCCGUAAACGAUGGAUACUAGCUGUUGGGAGCAAUUUCAGUGGCUAAGCGAAAGUG